ensembl:lncRNA
GUGUGUCUGUGUGUGUGUGUGUUAGAAUGUCAAAUAUCCUUACAAAGAGAGUGUGUGUGUCUGUGUGCGUGUGCGUGUGUGUGUGUGUGUGUGUGUGUGUGUUGGAAUGUCAAAUACCCUGCUAGGCAUGGGUGGGCUCCCGGAGCACCAGGGCGUAGAAAUGGGCUCUGACCUAUUGCAAGUCACCUCUGUGCUGGGAAGAGAAUGUCCCCAGUUGGGUCUUCAGACCUAUGUAGCCCAUUCACUGUGUUUUGGAGUCAAAGCUGAGAAGGGGUAAGAAGUUUGGGAGACAGACAUGGGGUUGUUCCCAUUUCAUCAAAGGCCAUUUGGGUGGAAGUUACUUGAUUGUCACUGUAAGGUGCCUUUGUCUUUAGGGCCAGUCUGAUGACAGAGAUAGUAAGAUACGGGCCACAAGACUGAAUCAGUGGUGGGAGUUGACUAUGUUAGACAGGUGGGUGGUGAUGGGUAGGUCCAGGUCAUGGGCGGGGAAGCUGGAGGGCACAGGCCUGACCCCUUAGGCAGGACACAGGGCUGGAAGACUUAUCAACCAACGACCUGCUGUGUCGAGGGGUGCAGCCCACUGUAGGUGGAAACUGAUGUGGGCACAGGCGCUGAAGUGCAGGUCAUCUGUGCCUCACAGCAGGCCUGGAGAGGGUGGAAGCCACAGGAACAGACCCAGGAAGGACCACCUAUGAAUGCCCCACUGUGGCCUCUUGUCCCACGAAGGAGCAGCUCUGGCAUCUGUUUUAUAUGUGCGCAAAGGCUGUCUGUCCUCAGGACAUAUGCAGCUGGGUCAUGCUGCCUGCCCUCUCUGAAUUCCCACCCUGUGAGAGGAUCAAAGGGUCUUUAUUAACACCUGAGCCCCUGGCUUUACCCUUCUUUGGCGAGCCUUACCGUGGUCCUGUUCCUGUGCCUUCCUUUUAAUCAGCUCUUGGUAUGUGCCAAGCUCAGGACUCAGUGGAGGCCAUCACUGUCUCCGCUAAUCUUCAAGUCACUGCUCUACAAGACAAGGCUGUUAAUAUGAUUUGCAGACAGGGGGAAACUGAGGCCCACAAUAUCUCAGGUCAUAACUGAGCCGAGGUCACAGCUCACAUUGAAAAUAAAAAGCUCAUAUCUUUCUCUGAUUUGGGAAAAAUAGAUUCUUACUUAUUCCUGUUUGGAGAACUGUCCAUUAACCUGCCUUCCUCCGUAUGGUAGGUUCAUCAGCUCUUGGCAAGUGUGAUCAAAAAUCCCAGCUCUGUAACUGAUCAAGACCAGACGGCUAAUGUGUUUUCUUCCAAGCCUGAUGAGAGAUGGCUUCAUCUCUGGAUAGUCUAAGGGAAUGCUGUGCUAAGUUCUGAGUCAAACCUGAGGCAGUCAAGGCCACCUGCUGGUUCCAUUGUGGUUGGAAAUUAGUGGACAGUUUUUGAGGGCCAAGAGAAGCCACGUACAGGUCCAGGUAUUACUGGGGACAGUGGCUUAUAAUGUCAAGCUUGGCCUUGGCUAUGCUGAUGGCCAGGAGGAGGAGCUGGGGCCCUUAUCCUGGAGGCAAGUUCUAGGUUAAGUCAGCAGACACAUCCAGCCUCUUACCCUCACCACACCCUUCCUACCACUCUUCCCAGACACCUUUUGUUGUCUGGCUCUGACAGACGUCUGGGCUCCCAGGGAGGUUCCUGAUGGGGGACCUUGGAAAUAGGUCACUCCCUUCCCGUGUAGCCAGCACUGACCCAGAUGUGACCCGCCUCAUGUGACAGUGUCCGUCUGAGUACCGCUCUUUGAUGCUAGCAGUGGAAGGGCCAGGUGGCCAUCUCAUCCCAGCUCUGGCCUUUGAAGACUAUCUUCUCAGCUCCAGCACUCUGCAUGCCCCUUCAAUCAGCCCCUCCUCCUCACCGCCAUAUUGGAAAGGGGAAAUCCAGUCUUGACUUCUUCCUCUCUCAAGAGUGCCCUGGCUGGACUGGCGGCUCCCAAUCUCUGGAUGAAACAGACAAGUUCCUGCAGGGCCGAAGCCAAGGGCUGCUGGGCCUAGAUGUGGCCCUUCUCUGGCCCCCUACCCUUUGGUAUCCCACAGAAUCUUGGGGUUUUCCAUAUAUUCCUGGCUGGGGUUCUCAGUUGCACCCCACCCCGUAAGCCUUUUGGCUGGAACUUUAGGAGAUGCUUGGCACCAUAGAGCUUCCUCCUCUUCCUCUCAGGUCUUCCUGAGGGCCAAAGAGAAAGUCCAGGGGACUUUCUUCCAGCAAAGAAAACUGAGGUACAAACCCCAAGGAGGGGAUCUUUUUAUCCGAGCUGUAGAACUCUUCUCAGAGUAUCUGGUCACAAUUCCUGGGUUUUCUAGGCCACCUCCUCUCUUUCCUCCAGCUUCCAUCCUUUUUGUGGAAUUAUAUUAGGACCUUUAUUUAUCCCUCCCCAGACAAUCUCAACUUGGUGGAGUGUGUGUGUGUGUGUAUCUAUGUGUGUGUAUAUCUAUGUGUGUGUCUGUGUGUGUAUAUCUGUGUGUGUCUGUGUGUGUGUGUCUGUGUGUAUGUCUCUGUGUGUGUCUGUGUGUGUGUUUCUGUGUGUCUGUUUCUGUGUGUGUCUGUGUGUGUGUGUGUCUGUGUGUGUAUAUCUGUGUGUGUGUCUGUGUGUGUAUAUCUGUGUGUGUGUCUGUGUGUGUAUAUCUGUGUGUGUGUCUGUGUGUGUGUCUCUGUGUGUGUGUCUGUGUGUGUGUCUGUGUGUCUGUGUGUGUAUAUCUGUGUGUGUGUCUGUGUGUGUGUCUGUGUGUGUGUCUGUGUGUGUCUGUAUGUGUAUAUAUGUGUGUGUGUGCGUGUGUCUGUGUGUGUGUGUCUGUGUGUGUAUAUCUGUGUGUGUAUGUGCAUGUGUCUGUGUGUCUGUGUCAGUUUGAAUAUGGAGGUAAGAGGACAACUUGUGGUAGCUGGUUUUUACCUUCUAUGGCGUGAGUCCCAGGGAUCAGUCUUAAGGCUCCAGCGUGCUACAUAAGCCUUCUGCCAUCUGGGUUAUUCUAUCAGGCCUAGGGACCCUGACUUCUGAUCAUCUCAUCCCCACGUUUUUCUCGGUCAGCAAGUCUGGCACCUGUGAUGCAGCUGGAUCGGACCCCAAGUAAGCAGGUUUGUCUACAACACCAUGUGGACUCACCAUGAGGCAGGCACACACACAGGAGAUUACACACGGGAGACCACACAGCCAUCCAUGGCAACGGUGAAUGACAUUCUCAGUGGCUGCCGGUGUCCUACCAUCGGUGGCUCUGCCGUGUGCAGGCUCUUCUGCAUUUCUGCUGUUCAGCACAUAGCAGAUCCUCAAUAAGGUUCUCAUAGUGAGUGGGGAGAUGUCUUGUGCCCAGAGAUACGGGGAUGUGGACAGCCUUGAAGCCAGGGAGCGUGCACCAUGACAGCAACUCUACAACACUUAACUUAAAGCUAACGUUAGUUAGACUGGACAGUCACGUUUGAGACAAGAAGUCUGUUUUCUCUGCCAAGGGGCCUGGGUGGCCAGAUCCAAUGCAGACACAUUCUUUCUUAGAAGACAGUGCAUGGAAAGCACAGGGGUGGCUGGGUGCAGGAUGCACAGUUGCUUGUCCUGUCUGGAAGGACUGCACUUACUCGCUGCUCUCCUGAAGAGAAUGCUCGUGUGGUGGAGGGAAUGUGUUGAGCCUCUUCUGUGCCCAGUGUAGAUGUGGGUUCCCCAAGUUGCAGCUGCCCAGAAGGACCAGUUCUCAUCAUCCAGCCCGGGACAGAUACUCUAGACUUCGAACCAGAGAGGGUGGAGGGAGGGAUUGAAGGCCCUGGCUGCUUCCCGGGCACAGCCAGCUCUAUGAACUAGAGACAAUUUGGACUGCAGGAAACUUGAGGUUCAGUUUCUGGGAAUGAGGAGCCUGGAAAGCAAGGCCUGGGCUAAGGUGCUUCUGACAGGACGAACAGAGUCAGCUCAACAGAAAGAGGUGUCUAGACGCCCCUUCAGGAAGGCUGUGUCUGGGGAAGAUGGGAGACCCUGCUUCCCCAGGAGGUCUGUGCAGCAUGUCUGUGGAGCACGGUGCUAUAAGAUAGAAGGAGCCCCUCUCAUCCAAUCGGCAUUUAUGAAUUCCCAUGCCAGCCUCUGUUCCCCAUCCUGAGAUACAGUGAGCAAGAUGAAGUACAUGUCCUCAUAGAAUGACUGUUCUGGUGGAGAUGGAGUCUCGAGCCGGUGUCUCGGUGAACUUAAAUGUCAUGGAAUGGUCUCCUGAGAGAGGAGGGCUGGGGCAGGUGAUCUGAACAAUCUGCCAUCUUGAACAAUGGCUGCCAGGCCUCAGUGGUGAUGGAUGUUGGAGUAGAGGCCUGAUGGGAGAGAGGGCUAACCAUCUGAACGGCGCAAAGACCCUGAGUUUGAGACUGGCAGGAGGCCGGAGAGGCUGGACAGAACGUGUCAGGAUGAGGAAGAGCAAGUGACAGUGGGCUCCAAUGGGAAGGCCUACAGGCUCGGUGAGAUGUCAGCUGAGGCCUGAGGGCAGCCAUGGGGGAGUGUGGGCAGUGGGCAGCUUAGAAGCCACACAGGGAAAGAGAAAGGAACCUGAAGGAACCUUGGUGUGGAGAACAGCCUGGUUCUUCCCAAAUUGACUGGGUUUCUGCCCCCAGACUUGUACGUGAUGUGACAUCAAAUAAGGGUCUCCAGGAUGUAGGUGCUUCAUCCACGUUUGUCCGUCAUGUGCUAACUUUGAGAAGGUUUGGUACUAGCAGCUAUGCCAGCCCCUGCUGGGCUGAGGCAGGCAUCACAGGGACAGGGGUUCCGUGGCUGAAUGCACACAGGAUGCCAGGAAACAGGUCAAGGAUAGAAAGCACGCAAAAGCCACGUGAGGGCACGGGAGGGGUGUCACAGAGGAGAGGCCACAAGACUUCCCGUGUCAAAGGCUCUGUAGGGGCAAAGUCUGAUCAGGAAACAGGGUGUGCCUGGUGGAAGAAACCGUGAGCCAGAAGGCGGUCUUUAGAGCUCUGCCUGGAACCGUGGAAGAGUUCUUACCAGCAGUCCUGCCUCAGUCCCCAGCACCACAAAUAAAUAAAGUUUAUUUAUGCAAACACACAAAACCCCUCAACCUGGGGAAAUGGCUCAACCUCGGGGAAGAGCUUGCCGUGCAAGCACAAGGACCUGAGUUUAAUCCCCCUAGAACUCCAACAAGCCCCAGUGCAGGACAGCACGUGCCUGCGAGCCCAGAGCCGGGUAGGCAGAGAUCCAAAGAGCCUUGGGGCUUACGAGCCAGCUACACUAGUUCAAUCCUCUGUGAGCUCCAGUCCUCCAAUCCAUCAGAUCCUGCCUCAAAUAAUAAGGUAGAAUGAAUACGGAAGACACCCAGGAUUGACCUCUGCCCUCCACUUGUAUACACACACACACACACACACACACACACACACACAGAGAGAGAGAGAGAGAGAGAGAGAGAGACAGACAGACAGACAGACAGACAGACAGACACAUGCACACGAGCACCAAAGCUUAACUUGCUUGUCAGCAGGAACUUUUUUGAGUCAGAAAAUCAAAUCUAAACAAGAAAAGAAAAAAGACUUGCUGUGUCUAAGGCGUCUCUGGGUCCAGGGGUUCCAGCCCUGGCGUCAGCAGCUGUGUUUCUGCUAUUUAAACAUCUAUUUUUUUUUUAAACCCCUUUCUCAGAAGGUCAUUUAGGCAAAAGUCCCAGGGUUGUUUUGACUGGUCCCAUAUCUUCACUGUCCCAGGGCCAUGUGAAUCAUCUCCUGAGGCAGCGGUUAAAGAUCGCAUCCCGACUCCCAGCAGCAGAUCAAGUUCUGCUUUGUGAAGGGGGACGGGGGACUCGUCAAAGUCAGAACUGAGGCACAGCGUUAAAGAGAGACAAACCAAGAACUGGACGAAGGCAUCAGGUGCCUUCCCCUAGCAAAUUGUUGGGGACAUUGAGCACUCUCAUAGGGUAGUCACGUGUUUUGUGGGGGAUGGAUCCCCCCCAAAAAAAGCAGUAAGGGAUGAAUCUAGAGUCAUAGUUGGAGAUCACAAAGCACCGUUGAUCGCUGUCCUUGAAGUGACCUGUGCCUAUAAACUUGCCAAGGUGACCUGCAUACUUCAUGGGUGGCCACCAGAUGGUUUAGCAGGGGCAUGAGGCAGCACGGUCCUGGAGGCUGGUUGGGAGGGCCUGUGGGGACUCUGAGAAGAGUCAGUAUGGUUGAUAUCCAGGGAGCUGAAGCUCUGCUCCCUGCUGAUGCCCUUCCCGGGCGAAGCUGCCUACAGCAGAAUGGAACCUGUCAUUAGCAGGCCCCAGCAGCCUCUCUGCCCUCAGCAGCUCUGGAGCGCUCACACCCCCAUUUUAGCUCUGGCAUGGUUGAUGGAGAAUGAGCAGGGUGUGUUUCUAAAAGCAGCCUGUAGCCCACUGUGGGGCCUUCUCGCUUGCCUUCUGGAGGGGAAGUUACAGCUGGGUUCCCUUGGUAUUCCUGGCUCCUGAGGAGAUGGUUUGCCACCCAGAAAGCCAAUCCCGCAGCUAAAGCCAGAGAGCUUGAUCUCUCAGGGAUUAAAGGUCACUGUAGCAAGGGGUAGCAGAGACAGUGUCUCAGGGCCAACCAGAGUCAAGUAACUGGCCCUGUCCCAUACUGCUGUUGUCCCAUCUGUCCCCCAGAGCAUGGCAGAGCCAGCUGCUGAGGUCAGGUGAGGGGCGUCCCCUUACAGGGGAGGAUUUGUUUUUUUUCUGCCUUUGAUUGGUUGGCCCUCUGGUGCUCAUGGGAAGACUUGUCAGGGGAGGAGAGUCCCCUUAGGGUAGUCAGUGACUACUCCAGAACCGCCAAGAGCUGGUCCUACUGCUUUUCUGAGACACGGCCAUCCCCUGCCACAGAGGCAGACACCCAUGGGCCGCUAAGAUUCAUGCAAACGCUCAGGCAGGCUCUUGGAAGCAAUGUUGUGCUCUGAAUGGGGACCAGGGACAUGACCAGAAUAGAUGCAGGGGUAGGAGCUUGGCCUAGAUGUCUCUGUGUGAAUGUCCUCCUUGGAGGACUCUGGAGAUGAGUGAGUCACAGGAACUGGGGACAAAUCUAAGAGUUUGAAGAAGUUGGGACAUCCACAGGGCCCUGCUGCAGCUGCCCAGGUUCACUUUCCCAGAGAGAGCUGCUGGGCGGAGGGGUCCUGCAUGCUCACCUCCCGGAGAUAAACAGCGCCCUUAUUGCUGGCUGAGCAGACACAGUCAGCCUGACUUUCCAAGGGGCUUUUCUCAUCCCUAAAGUUUAGUCUACUUUGGUUUAAUUUCAAAGAUGGUAUUGCUUUUGAGUCAGAACAUAAAAAUCCCCCUAGAUGCAGUCUGGAGCUUGUUGACUGUGGAGGAAAGGGGACACUGGGGGAGGGGAACAACUGGAACGCCCUCAAAGCUUUUCCUGCCUGCAGCCCUGACCAGCCUUCUAGGAGGUUCCAAGUCCCACAGGCACUCCCUCUCUCAUCUGAGGGUCUUCGAGUUAGGGUCAGUGUUUCAGGGCUGGGUGAUGGGGUGGUUUCUUGUGCUUUGAUGAAUCUGUCGUUGUUUCAAGACUCAGAGUCAAACAUGGCCCUCACACACACACGCGUGUAGGCUGGUUGACCCUCCAUGCCUUCCUGAGUAGCCUUCACAGGAUGACCUACAGGGGUUGGGGGAAAGAAAUACAGUUUAAUUUCUGUCUAUGCCAGUUUAUAUUUCGUGUGUGUGUGCAUGUGCGUGUGCCUGUGUGUGUGUGUGUGUGCCUGUGUGUGUGUGUGUGUGUGUGUGUGUGUGUGUAGUACAUGUGUCAGUCUGUGUCUUUUGGGAGUGAUUGUUUAAAAUGGACGCUCUUAGUCAAAUAGGCACAUGAACUGGAAAGGGAUGGUGAAUGCUGGUGCAGAUGAAGCUCUGGGUCGUGAGGAGAAUGAGUGUUUGGCAGUGUCCUAAGAAGUCUGGGGAGAUGCAUCUUAUGGGCAAGGACAGGCCAGACCAAGAGGAGGGAGGCCGUGGGCAGAGCCGCUAGCAGCGGGGCGCCACGCCUCUUUGCUUUGCAGGGAGCUGGUCCUCCUCGCACUGGAGCCUGGUCCUGGGAGACCCAAGUCUGAGAGAAAGUUUGGCUGUUAGCUAAGGUCUCAAUCAGUCAAGGGCCAGCAAACUCUACAGGCUGGGUAAGCAGACACAAGGUUGUCCGUCUCCUGGCGAUGGUGUCCUGGAGCACCGGGAGUGGAACUUCUGGGUUGAUCGCCAGCUUGUUUCCCUACUCACACCGUGUGGUGCUAGCUCCUUGACUCCCCCAGUGGAGGCCGGAUUUGUCCGGACUCUAGAAAUCUGACACCUGUACAGUGAUGUCUCAUUUUAAUUUGGGGUUCCCCGGUGGACCUGAGUAGGAGCCUCCUUUCAAGUAAGUCUGUUUGCCGUGUGGAAUUUCUCCGUUUUUGCAGUGGGCUCUUCACAUCCUCAGGCCACAUGGUGUCUGUGUUAGCAGAAGGAGGAGCAAGUGUGGCAAGAGUUACCCCCGCUGUAGCGUCACCAGUGAGGACUCUGGCGGGCAGAGAGGGGACCAGUUUGAACUGUGCUGCCAGAGGGAACUCACGCCUCAGAGGUGUGAGGGAUGCCCAGCCAGGAAGGAAGUUGUGCAUGUUUGGACCGAGGCGAGCCAGAGGUUGAGGGUGAAAAUUGAUAGAUACAUAGAGACUGGGAGGCGUCUGAUUGAGUCCUUAUGAGAUGACGUUUGAGGGCAAACUUGAGAAAGGUGGUUUCCUGAGCCACCAAUGCAGAAGGGUGACAGACGGUGAGGGACAGCAGACACCUGCAGUGGGGCAGUGGGCAGUGAGGAGUGUCCGUCACGGAGAGGACAGCAUCUGUGUCAAGGACAUAACAUGAUUUCUAGAUGAGGUUGAGAGGCACAGAGGAUGCUUUUCUUAGGCCCGUUCGAUGUAUUGAUUAGGAAUCCAUAACCUUGAAGGGCACUUAAGGGCUGGGCCUGAGCAGCCUGCUUCUAUAAACUGAGUGUGGAAGGGAACUGAGGCCACAGGAAGAGCGGGUGGGAGGAGUAUAAGGGAUACAGGUCAUCUUGGGACUCACAGCCCUCUCCCGGGCGCACUGGCCCUGACUUAACUUUAGUGAUGUUCAUUUGUUCAUUCGUUUUAUGCGCCAACAUCUCAUGUAAUCCAACCUUGAGCUCGCUAUACAAAUGGGGGCUGGCCUCAGACUCCUUAUCCCUCAGCCUCCCAAGUGCUGGGAUCCCAGACAUAUGCCACCACACUUAGCUUGACUUUCUCUUCAACACAAGUGGGUGGGUUGAGCACCAGUGACACCCACGUGCCUCCAAGCUUGUUUCCAGAUAUGUGGUCCUUGGUGAUGAUCUGUUCAAUGUCUCCCCGACAAAGGAGCCCUAGGGCCCAGGAGAGAUGGGAGCUUUUAUCUCCUAGAGGCUUGACUUUCGAUGUCUUAAUUGGCAUGAGCCUCCCACCCCCCACCGCUUCUGUCUCCUGCCAGUUUGGUCUCCUGUCUGUUUGGUGAGGCCUGCAGCUUGUAAGCACAUGCACUGCCUGGAAUGGCCUAGACCAGCAUAGUCUGGAAUCAUGACAGGAAGGGUAGAUGCAGCAAAGAACCCUGGGGACCCUUCACCAAAUAGCCAGUGUCCUUUACAGCAGGGCCACUCUUGGGAGGACUGACAGCGGUGGCCAUCAAGCAGCUUAAAGGGACACAGGGCACUGCCGUGGGCAAUAGGCCACACUUUUUAGCAGUUUCGAGCAUCUGUCCCAGGAAUACCAGGAUGGGGAGCUUCUUUUCUAACAACUUUUAGACUUCUGUGCCUCAAGUUUUUCUUUCUUUCAUUUCCAUAUGAAAGAACUGUCGAUUGUGACAAACACAGACGACAGCCUAAAAUUUAGUGUUUGGAUCUCAGGCUAAGACCUGAGGCCUCAGGCUCCAUGGUAGGGCCAGUGAGCAAAGGCACUGGCUGCUCAGCCUGCUCACCAGAGCUCAAUGCCCAGAACCAUGUGGUGGAAGGGAGAAGUGACUCCUACACGUCUGCUGAUUUUCACAGGCAUGCCAUGGCGUGCACACACACACAUACAAUAAACUAGUACAUAAAUGUGUGCACGUGGGGUUGGGGAUUUAGCUCAGUGGUAGAGCGCUUGCCUAGCAAGCGCAAGGCCCUGGGUUUGGUCCCCAGCUUCCCCCCCCCCCAAAAAAAAAAAAGAAAAAGAAAAAAAAUGUGUGCAUGUGACGGUGAGCUCAGUGGGGAGUGAUAGUAAGCGUGCGUGCUGUCAUGACGCUCUCCCCGCUAGUCUGACCCAUGCAGCCUUCGCUCUCCAUCGCUCCACCCUGAGCCCCGACAUUCACCUGUCUGCACCAGUCUCUGAAUUUGUCCUUAGAGGGACCACACAGAAGUGAAAGCACACUGUAUUUGUCUUUUUUGUGACUUAUUUCAUUUCCCCAAAUAUCCUCAAGGUUCAUCCAGGUAUCAGAAUUUCCUGCCCCUCUAAGUCUGAAUUAUACCUCACUGUGUGCAUAGAUUACAGCAGGCACACUGGUUGCUCCCGCCCUUGGCUAUAACAGCUACACACUGUGGUGAUCGAUCGAUCGUCAUUGUUGAUUUGACUGGGUUUAGAAUCACCGUGGACACACAUUUCCGAGUGUGUCUAUGAAAGCAUUUCCAGAAAAGUUAACCGAAGAGGAAAGACUCGCCCUGAAUGUGGGCAGCCCCAUCCCGUGGACUGUGUGCUCUUAGGUUGAAUAAAAGGUGAACUGAGCGCCAGCGUUCACCUCCUGGCUUCCUGACUACAGACACCAUGUGACCAGCCACCUCAGAGUCUUGCUGCCAUACUGUUUUGCCAUGAUGGAUUGUCCCCACAAUCUGUGAACCAGAACAAACCCUUCUGUGCAUUGCUCUUGUUGGGUGUCCUGACACAGCAGCGAGAUGAUGAACUAAUCCAGAGAAGUAAUGCUCAGAGGCGGGGCUGGUUCGAUGAUUAACCUGACCGUGUGGUUUGUGGACCUUUAGAACUAGUUUGCAUGGGGAACAUGGAAGUUUGGAACCAUGGACUAGAACUCUGUAUACAGAACUAACUAUUCCUGUGGGAGUUUGGAACAAUGCAGAAAGAAGUGUGGACAGCGGAAACCUGGUUUAGGUUUCAGAGAGAACAAAUACUCUAUUGGGACUGGCUGGAAGCCGUUCAUGUUUUAUGCUAACAACAAAAUCUGGCUACAUUCUACCUGUGUCCUGGGCAUUUGAGUGUGACAUAAAGGUAACGAGCUAAUUCAUUUGGCAGAAGCAGUCUCAUCAGGUUAGCAUAUUCAGACGGUGGCCUGGCUAUUACUUACAACUCUUAUCCAGGUCGGUGGAGACAAAGAGCAACAAAGGGAGCAGAGAGGUAUGUGCUGUUUGGCCUGGAUAGGUGUGUGACAGAGUUUGAAGAUGUGUAUACGGAAGGCAUGGAGAAAGGCAGCUGCGACUGUUAAGGUGACCAUUAACAACAGACUUCAUGCUCUGCACUGGGACAAGAGGAAACCACCCUUAGCUCAAGACAUCCCAUCCCCCACCCCUCUCACACUGAGGGCUCCAUCUUGUAACAAGAGUAGCUGCCUUUGGAAGGACAGAACCGGAAAUGAGAAUGGAGAUGAAGGGUGCUCUGCUCCAAAAUGGCCACCUAGGCAAGCAUUUUCCCAGGCUCACCUUGAAGGCACACAGAGGCUACUGUGUUGGUGGUCCAAGGGGACUAGGCUACACCUUGAGCUGACAGCAGAACUCAGCCCUGUCAUCCAGGCUGAUUUUGUAGGCCUGAAAGAUUUGAGGGGGCAGCCACAGGGCCCUGCACCAAGGUCCCAGACAGCAAGGCAGUAUUCAGAAGGCUUAGAUUCCUCACAGGGAGGCCUUGAGAGAUCAUUGCAUGAACCCAGGAAGGCAAAGAGACCCCAGUUAUAUUGGAGGUGCUAAGAAGAGAGGGCGUCUGCUAGGGCCUGGAGUAGAGCUGGUCCAAGAGUCUGUGUGCUGUAGGUGACAGCAGGGGGAGGGGACUAACCACCAUGAGUUCCAGAGGCCAAGUACAAAGGUGCAGGGGCUGGAGUUUGCCCUUCUGAGUCUUAGUCUUGCUCCGGUCUAGCAUUUCCACCCUACCUUCCGAUCCCCCGCUUUGGAGUGGAAAUGUUUAUCCUAUGCCAUUGUGUAUUGGAGGAUAUAUAACUUGUUUUUUUGAUUUUACAGAUAGGAUGUUGCCUUGGGUCUUAGAAGAGACCUUGGUUUUUGAGUUGUAUUGGGGCUGUUAAAGACAGUGGGGACUUUUAGGAAUAGACUAAGUCUAUUUUUGCAUUAUAAAAUGGAAACGAGACAGUAUACAUCAGGGAAUGACCGUUACGGUUCAGUAGUGGUGUUCCUGAAUGCCAUGUAGGCAUAGGGUAGAGUUGUGAUGGGUAAUCGUCAUCAUCAGUGCUCUCCCAUCAUCAUCAUCAUCAUCAUCAUCAUCAUCAUCUUGGCUGUCCUAGAACUAGCUAUGUAACCAGGAUGGCUUUGAACUUAUGAAGAUCCAACUGCUUCAGCCUCCUGAGUGCCAGAAUUAAAGGCAUGCACCAUAACACCCUUUAGUAUUUUUUUUUAAGUAUUUAGUGUGUGUGUGUGUGUUUCCUGUGUGUGCACCAUGUACGUGUAGAGGUCAGAGUUCAACUUGCAGGAGUCACUGUUCUUCUACCGUGUGGGAUCUAGGAACUGAACUUAGGUCAUUAGGGUUGGCAGCAAGCGCCUUUACCCAGCGAGCCACCUUGCCAACCCAUCUUGUUUAUUGACAUACGUUCUCUGACUGGCCUGGGGCUCUCUAAGUGGGCUAGGUAGCCAGCUAGAAGGCCCUGGAGCAUCAAAUCAAGUCUUUCUGCUCAUAGGGCAAGAACUUUACCAAGUAAGCAUCUCCCUAGCCCCGUCUUGGUUCUUAUCCUGCUUUCCCAAAGCAGGAGAGAGAGAAAGAGAGAGAGAGAGAGAGAGAGAGAGAGAGAGAGAGAGAGACAGAGACAGAGACAGAGACAGAGACAGAGACAGGAGGAAGAUGAUGGACCAGCUGUUUCUGAUCACUUUUCAAGCACAUAUCUGAGUUGAGUACCGGCUUCCAUAUCCAAGCCUGACUUAGACGGUUAAAUGGCUGACUCUGGCAGAGCCUUCACGUUAACGUGCCAGUAUAACACCAGUCGCCACGUCUGUGGACUUGCCGCCCUUCCCUGCCUUUUGCAAUAGGUAGUGAAACUCUAACCACUUGGUAGGGAGAAGGCAUCUGCUCUCUGUUUGUAACACUUUCUGGUUCCCAUCCAGAAACCUGGGAGGUUGAGUGCGCCAGGGGAGGGACUUUCUGACGUGUGGUGUCUUCCCUGCCUCUUGCCUGGCUGCCGCCCAAUGUCCAGUCCUGUUCCCUGUUGUGUCACAGCCCCAGGGCCUUGCCACCAGGCCCCAGACAGUGUUUCACAUUCUUACCCCAAGUGUCCUUGUGUUCUGAGCAACUUUUCCAUUGACUCAGGCAAAAUGAAGGGAGUGGGGGUUUCUGAUAGCGUCUGGCUAAUUAUCCUUGGAGUGCGGUUUAAAAUUUCAGCCCAACAGUAUCAAAUCUAAGACUCUGACCCCCCACUAUUAAGUUCAUUGGCCUUCCCAUCUGGGACUGGGGCAGGGGUGAGCGGACAGUGGGUUCUCAAGUCCCUCUAAGACAAGCAAGGACUAGGGUUGACUAGUCGUCUCUGCCUCACAUUCAUUCUGUCUCCUUCUUGUUCCCCGUCUCCCUGUUUCUUUUCCCUGAAGCCGAUAUAGGCUGAUUACUGUGGUCAGAGAAAAACAUGGCUCCAGGGAGGCUAAGGAGCCACAGGUCCAACCAAACCUCAGGUUAGGGGAUAAUUAAGAGGGUCUCCCCGGUGUUAUGGUGGCUCCCAAAGAAGGGUUUGGACCUUGUCUCAGGUCAGGACCCCAGUGCCCUCCCCACCCCAUGCAACUCUAGGUAGCUGUGGCUAUCCCACCUCCCUAGUCAAACUGCAAAGAAGAGCAAGUGAGCGGGCGGAGGAAGGACAAACACUUCUUUCUCCCUGCAGGUCACGCUGCUUCAGGGAGCAGACCUGGAGACUUGGGGUGUGGGCCUGAGGAGGGAUGAGAUGUGCCUCUCGGGGCUCCUCUCCUAUUUCUGCUUAAUCCAGUGUCUACUCAUGGUGUCCUGAGGCCCUGAGAGUAGAGUAUCCCUGAAUGAGAGAGAUCCCAUUCCAGAAAAGGGUGGGCCUGAGGGGGAAGGUUCUAGUUGUGCUGGGACAGGAGGGGACCAGCACCUGGCUAUGUCAGCUGUUCCUGAAGCCCUACCCCACAAUGCCCCAGGACAGUACAGGACCCUGGUGGAGCCCUGGCUGCUCUCCUGCCAGGUUUGGUUGGAGUCUGGUGGGAAAUAGCUUUUCUUCUUUAAUGGCAAGUCUUUUCGUCUGAUGACGAGUUACUUAGGGGAGGGAGGGAGAGGAGGGGUUGGUGGAUCAUGGCUGGCAGGAUCCGUGAAAACUGUGCCCACCCUCAGCCUACCCCCUGCCUGGCUGAGGUUUCUGGUGAGACCUUCUAGUGGGACAUCACCCCUGCACCUGCCAAGCUUUCAAAAGUUUUGCAAACCUGGCUCAACGCUCCGUGCUGUGCUGGCCAUGACUCUGCUGCUACUGGGGCUCCCGUGUGUUCCCUGUCUUUCUGAGUGGGGUUCAGAGAGGUCCCUAGGUCUUGGGAAACACUCAGAGACAUAGGAAGGGAAUGAGUUACCUAUUGGCCUCCCACUGGCUUGUAGCCUCCAAUCUUGGAGGGCCCUUAAACUGCUGGGCCGAUGAUUAGCCUGUAAUUGUUCCCAGCAGUGAGGAGAGCAGCCUGUUAGGCCUUCGUGUUUGUUUUGCCUUCUGUGUUAGGCCAGUGGUAACCAAGGGCCGUUUCCCCUUGGUGACGGUGGAGCUGACUCCGGCCAGGACUGAUCCACGCAGCUCAGGCACGGCAGGCCUGGGGACCUGUGUGACAGCCACAUUCAGGACUAUACCCAGAUCUCAGCAGCCUGGUGCUUUCACUGUGCUCCAAAUCCUACCCCCCUGGUGGUGAAGACCCACCAACUUUCCUCCUGGCUUUUCUCCAAGGCACUUGCCUGGAACAUUCCAGAACUCUGGAUUUUGUGGUAGGUGUUGGGAGACUGCGAGGCCACUUGCUGGCCGGCCGCAUGUGGGUGGGUCUUGGACAGGCUCAUGGAUUUCAGCCAAGACGCAGGGUUGUGACUGACUGCCUGCCUAGGUUCCUGCAGGCCCGGGGUCCUGAGGUCAUCCCAGGCAGAGAUCCGAGGAGGAGAUGGCUAUGUGAGAGGCAGCUGCACACUGCUAUGGACACCAACCAGGGAAGGCUCUGUGAGGGGUGGGGGACAGCCAGAGCAGACCUGGAGAGAAGGGCUGCAGCUGAGCGUGGUUUGUUCCAGGGCUGAGAAUGGCUUUUAGCAGAUAUGGGGCCGGGAGGUCUCAGGGUCUGCCUGUCUGCCUGGAGUCUGGGAUAUUUGGAGUAGAGGAGCAUGAAAGGAUGGGUGAAGCCUGAGGUGGGCAGAGGGGAAGGCCUAUGGGUGACUAGAGGAGCAGCCUGAGGUGCUAUUCCCAUGACUUGUUUUCCCAGAUCCCUGUGACCACUGCCUUCUGUCAGGUGUAGGGACCACAGCCUGUUUUAUGUGCCCCACCCUGCCCACCUCUAUGGGUCUGGCAAAAGAGUCAUAAAACAUUGUCUGCCACCUCUGUCCCACAGUCAGUCGGUUGUGUUUUAGGAUCAGCUUCCUGGAGGGGGAUGAAGCCCUCCCUCUAUGUAAAGCAGGGGUUCUCAACCUUCCAACCGCUGGGAUCCUUUAAUACAGUUCCUCCUGUUGUCGUGAUCCCUCAACCAUAACGUUAUCUUUGUUGCUAUUGUGUAACUAUAAUUUUGCUACAGUUACGAAUCCCAAUGUCUGUGUUUUCUGAUUGCCUUUGGCAACCCCCUCCCCUGUGAAAGGAUUGUUCAACCCCCAGGUUGAGAACCAUUUCCUAGUAUCUUUUUAAUGUAUUUCCUGUAAGCCUCUGACUCCCAAAGAGGCCACCGGACAGCCCCAACCCACCUGAGCAUCGUCACCUGUGGCCAAUCAGUGAGGAGCUAGGGUGGGACCCGAGCUCAGCAUUUUCAUCCAGUUCUAGCCUGCCGGACAGUCACAAGGUGUUGGGCAAGCCAGGUGACUGGUCCCCUCCUUUAUAAAGUGACAGCUUGCCUGUGAUGCGGCCACAGGCAGAAUUUCCAGGCUGUCUGGUUUUCCUGUUUGAGGGCCUGGAGAGGGAGCUGUCAGUUGGGAGAGAUGGGGUGCAGGGAGUGGGGCUGAGCUCCCUGUGCAACUUUCACACCGGUCUCUGCCACCAGUCCAGCUGCCUAGGCCAUUAGGCCUCUGUGUUUCAUUGUAGCUGCGUUGUGAAAAUGCAGGUCCUGGCGGCUUGUUUGGUUGGUAGGUCUUGUCGGCUCAGCAGAAAAGAGAGGCUUUUGAUAUGGGAACGGAAACUCAGACAGCGGUAGAGCUCUGCAGCGCCUUUGGUAGGAGUGGGGAGUGUGGUCCAGCUCCAGCUGUGGAAAUCUGAGUCAAGCAGGCGGGCAGGCAGCUUGCAGCAGGGUUCUGAGGAGGGGUCUCCCACAACAGGUCUGGUGGCAACUGCACAGCUGUGAUGUGCUGAGCCCUCCUGCGGCCCCUUCAGGAGGCAGGGAAGUGCUGGAAAGGCGACUUGCAAGCUGAUGUUCUUAUGUCCUGGGAAACCAGCCUGCUGAGGACCUACCUUUCUGACAUGCCUAGCUGUUUAUAGAGCUCUCUGCCAGCAAGGCGGGAGUGUGGAGUCUUGUGUAUGUACCUGGGGUGGGAGGAGCUGGGCUAAUUAAAGUGGCCAGUCCUGGCCUUGCUUAUGUUCCUAGGCUGAGCUGACUGUUGGGACAAGCAGUCUCUUCCUUCUCUCCAUCGGUUGCCAUUCUGGGUCAGCCCGUUAAAUGGCUAUUCGGCCACUUUCCCCUGUUCCCCUUUCACGUUUUUCAAGAAGUGAGAACUGGAAAAGACGGUCCCCGGAUCCAAAUUGCUUUCCUAAGAAACUUCCAUGAUGCCCAGCUUUGGGCUGCCUCGCUUCAGGGAGCAGAGGAAGGGGAAGGGUCCCUCCUCUCCCAGACCCUGGGUGAAGUCCCCAGGGGCUCUGUGACUGUCACUGAGUUCAAGAUGGCCCAAGGCAGCCACAGAGCUAAGUCACACCUCCAGACAGCUCUUCUUUGCCUAGAUGACUGAGUUUGGGAUAGGGGAUGAAUUUCCAUGUCUGUGUCGAAUCCUUGUCUCAAGAGACACACCCAUCUGCUUGCUUUUCCCUCCCCCCACUAAACUGGAAAUGUAUGUCCAGUGUUGUCUGUUCAGUUGUUUUUAGUGUUGGUUGGCUGGCAUGCCAUGUGUGUAAGCAUGUGCAUGCCUAUUGUGUGCCAAGAACUUUCUGGGGAGAUGCAAUGCACACACCUACUCACCCCACCUAGAGAGCACACCACAAAGUCCAACUUGAUAAACCAGUAAGUUUUAUUAGAGUUGCUUACAGGAAUGUGGGUGAGGGG